AAGGAUCAUUAUUGAUAAUUGGAAGGUUGUAGCUGGCCUUUCGGGGCAUGUGCACACUGACCAUUAAUCUCCCAUACACCUGUGAACCCACUGUAGGCCUUUGGCCUAUGUCUUUCAUAAACCCUAUGCAUGUAUCAGAAUGUAAUCUAUUUAUUUGCCUUGAAAAGCAACUAAAAAGCAAUACAACUUUCAACAACGGAUCUCUUGGCUCUC
rnacentral:misc_RNA from 1 species